rnacentral:lncRNA from 1 species
GCCUGGCGUGUGUCAAGUUUGACUCCCACAGCCCGGGCGAGGUGCUGGCUCACUACGUGCACUGCAGGAUGGAGAUGCAGCAGGCUGUGAAGGAGACGGAGAUGGUGAGACACGAGGAGGAGUGCAGGACUGUGCAGGAGAAGGGCGAAGCACCCUACCGCCCCGGCCUGUUUGCCUUCUCCAAAGGGCUGCCAUCCUAGCCAGGGUGGCACCCCCCAUCCAAAGCAUGUGCCCACAGUGCCAGGACACCUCUGGCGCCUCCCACCCGCGGAAGGACGCUGCUAUCGCUGCUGCCCAGCAGAGACCCGGCGACCACCCCUGCCCGUCA